rnacentral:sRNA from 1 species
CAACAAGCGAAAGGAGGUGGUCGAAUGUCUCAUUGUCCCAUGCCGCACGCGGCAGAAUCGAGCCCGACCGUCCGCGUGGAGGCCGCGCUCGGCUAAGGCCGCAAACGCCAAGACAAUGGAAGGGCCGUCCCGAAAGGGUCGGCCCU